CACAGCCUUGUGUAGUCUGGUGUAGCAGAUUCAAUAUUGAUGAAGUGAAUCGAUCAGAAGAGCACCACCCUUCCCUUUCUGAUACGGCUCUCUCCACAACACAGAGAUGAGUGAUGCUGUCUCUGCCUCAUCUUUGACUGGCAGAAUAAACACUGUUACCACAACAGCAAUGCUGGGAGACAAACUACAAGCAACAACAGAGAACUGUCAACUCAUCCUGUGUGGCCUGAAAGGCCAGUUCAAGACGCC